AUCUUCAACAUUCCACACAAAAUGUCUUCUCGUAAAAAAAACUAUGCAAAUGAUGAAGACAUUCUUUUAUGUCAAAUUUAUAUGCGGAUUUUACAAGACCCAACUAUAGGGACUUAUGAAUCAUCAAAUCAACAAUGGAAUCGUGUGGAAGAUGCAUUCAUCAAAGAUAAAGACCCGACUUGGCCACAACGUACGCAAAGAUCUAUGCAGGCUCGUAUUCAAACCAUCGAGAAAGCAACAAAGAAAUUCCGUGAAUGUCUCAAGCAGCUGAAGCAAGAAAUCAAAGUGGAGCUUCACGUCACAAUUCGUCACCAUCAUCGGCUUCCCGCGGCGGAGAUCGUCGUUCAUUGAAUUCCAGCAAGGGAGAUCAUUGCCGGCGAAAUUGAAGAUGCCGGAUUUUGAUGUUGUCCGGUUUAAAUUGCUAAAAUGCAAGUUUGAGUGGGGAUGAGAGGUAGAGAGAGAAAGGGUGUUUGGCGUGAGGAAUUUGGAGUGGCAGUAUUUUUAUGAUUUUUUAAAUAAUAUCCACGUGUCAAUUUAUUGUUGGUGUAUUAUGUGAUGUUUUAUAAAAUGUUGGAGGUGAUCCCCUCCGGCGGACAAGUCCCUGGUGAUUCAUCUUCAUCAAAACCCAAAAGAGUAAAGAAAGCAAAACUAAAGACAAAAAUACUCGAAGAUACGACAUCCUUGAUCAUGGCUCUAGAAAAGCAAAAUGAGCUUCUAAAGGAUGGCAUGGAAAAUGCAAACUCGCAAAUGGCUCUAUUCCUGGAAAAUCAAAAGGGGAGCAUCAAACUCAAGCAAAUGAAGGAAGAAAAUAAAAUAUUAUCUAUGAAUUUAAGCUCCAUAAACUAUCCCCAAAGUCGUGCAUUUUUUCAAGCCGAAAAAAAAUGCAUUUUACGAGAAAAAGCUCAACAAGAAGAUCAACCAAAUGACGAUGCACUUAGAACAUAUUCUUUUGACUUCAAUGAUAUUGGAGGAUCUGGUUCAGAUUAACCGGAUUAUUAGAUUAGGUUUUUAUUAAUUAUUGUAGUUUUAUUUUUUGUAUUUGAAAUGUGUUUUUUAAUAAUAUGC